rnacentral:snRNA from 1 species
GUGCUCGCUUCUGGCAGCACAUAUAUUAAAAUUAGAAAGAUACAGAGAAGAUUAGCAUGGCCCCGGCCAAGGAUGACAUGCAAAUUUGUGAAGUGUUCCAUAUUUUC